rnacentral:rRNA from 1 species
UACGUAGGGUCCGAGCGUUGUCCGGAAUUACUGGGCGUAAAGAGCUCGUAGGUGGUUUGUCGCGUUGUUCGUGAAAACUCACAGCUUAACUGUGGGCGUGCGGGCGAUACGGGGCAGACUGGAGUACUGCAGGGGAGACUGGAAGUUCCUGGUGUAGCGGUGGAAUGCGCAGAUAUCAGGAGGAACACCGGUGGCGAAGGCGGGUCUCGUGGGCAGUGAACUGACGCUGGAGGAGCGAAAGCGUGGGGAGCGAACAGGA